UGGAUCAAUGAUGACUUCCAUAUAUACAUUCCUUGGAAAGCUGAAUAAAAUGAAUGAAAACUCUAUACCAUCAUCCUCAUUGAACUGAGGUCCC
rnacentral:snoRNA from 1 species